rnacentral:piRNA from 1 species
UGUCAAUAAAAGAAAUUCAGA